GUUGAGUGCAUUUUUUCAAAUUGUUUUCAAACAUUUCGCGUUAACGUCACAUGGCACAAAACGAUGAUUUAACAAAUCAUACAGUCAUCGAUGAUAUCAAUCAGUAACGCUGAACAAAUGAUUAGAAAUUCUAUUGUGACACGAAAUAUAUUUUUUACAAUAUUAAAUAUUCAACUAGAUUUCAAUAAACUUAUAGAACAGAAGACAUGAGCCUUAACUGUUGGCAUAACAAAUUUGUUUAAAAAGAUCAAUUGGGCCAAAAAUCAUGGAAAAAUCACCGACGAAAAUCAGAUCAUUGUUUUAAAACCCAAUGGAUCAUUGAAAUCAAUUAUCAAUUAUCAUUUUAAUAACAUCUUGAUGCAACAGGAAUGACGACAUAAAUCUUAACAUUGACAUCUUAAUAUCUUAACAGCCUGCGACUCUGGCAGAUGUUGUUACAUAAAAAGUAGAGCUA